CCCGGGUCUUGUACACACCGCCCGUCACACCAUGGGAGUGGAGGAUACCAGAAGUAGUUAGGCUAACCGUAAGGGGCCGAUUACCACGGUAUGUUCAUGACUGGGGUG
rnacentral:rRNA from 1 species